ACUGCUCAGUAACACGUAGAUAACCUGCCCUUGGGUCCGGCAUAACCCCGGGAAACUGGGGAUAAUUCCGGAUAACGCACAUAUGCUGGAAUGCUUUAUGCGUAAAAUGGAUUCGUCUGCCCAAGGAUGGGUCUGCGGCCUAUCAGGUAGUAGUGGGUGUAAUGUACCUAUUAGCCUACAACGGGUACGGGUUGUGAGAGCAAGAGCCCGGAGAUGGAUUCUGAGACAUGAAUCCAGGCCCUACGGGGCGCAGCAGGCGCGAAAACUUUACAAUGCGGGAAACCGUGAUAAGGGGACACCGAGUGCCAGCAUCAUAUGCUGGCUGUCCAGGUGUGUAAAAUACACCUGUUAGCAAGGGCCGGGCAAGACCGGUGCCAGCCGCCGCGGUAACACCGGCGGCCCGAGUGGUGAUCGUGAUUAUUGGGUCUAAAGGGUCCGUAGCCGGUUUGGUCAGUCCUCCGGGAAAUCUGACGGCUCAACCGUUAGGCUUUCGGGGGAUACUGCCAGGCUUGGAACCGGGAGAGGUAAGAGGUACUACAGGGGUAGGAGUGAAAUCUUGUAAUCCCUGUGGGGCCACCUGUGGCGAAGGCGUCUUACCAGAACGGGUUCGACGGUGAGGGACGAAAGCUGGGGGGCACGAACCGGAUUAGAUACCCGGGUAGUCCCAGCCGUAAACGAUGCUCGCUAGGUGUCAGGCAUGGCGCGACCGUGUCUGGUGCCGCAGGGAAGCCGUGAAGCGAGCCACCUGGGAAGUACGGCCGCAAGGCUGAAACUUAAAGGAAUUGGCGGGGGAG
rnacentral:rRNA from 1 species